rnacentral:rRNA from 1 species
AGCUCCAAUAGCGUAUAUUAAACUUGUUGCAGUUAAAAAGCUCGUAGUUGAAUUUCUGCGUCACCGUAUUUUGACUUUUGUCGACUGUCGGUUUCGCUUU